UGAUCGCGCUUUGCCAGUUAGUAAGUGGUACGCAGAGUUGUACAGCUCUUGUGUCGAAAAUCCCUCCGAUCGGGCAGUGAAUUCUACCUCGCGUAAAAAUUCAAUUAAUCGUCGGCCGUAGUCUGCACCAUCAUAAUGAAUUUUCCACUUAUGGAUGGGCAACCGUUUGCCAGUAUUAUCAUGCAUCGUUGCGAUGCGAGAAGACGAGCUACCUGUGUUGUUUGGUUGUCGACUCGGUCCUACACUUCCGUUCGAGAACGGAACGCGGUUCACCAUGAUCCUCGAUUUUACGGAUUUGCAACUCGUGCGCGAGCUCCUCAUCAAGAAGAUGAGAAACGUUCAUCCCAAAAUAUUGGGAAAUGAAAUGAUCCAUCGUGCAGUGUAAUUCGCGAAACAAUGAGUGAUAAAUAAAUUCUGUUCUAAUCACGAA